rnacentral:tRNA from 1 species
AUUUAUAUAGUUUAUCUAAAACAUUACAUUUUCACUGUAAAAAUAUAACACAACAUUUAUUAUAAAU